AUUGAACGCUGGCGGAAUGCUUUACACAUGCAAGUCGAGCGGAUGACGGGAGCUUGCUCCUUGAUUCAGCGGCGGACGGGUGAGUAAUGCCUAGGAAUCUGCCUGGUAGUGGGGGACAGCGUUUCGAAAGGAACGCUAAUACCGCAUACGUCCUACGGGAGAAAGCAGGGGACCUUCGGGCCUUGCGCUAUCAGAUGAGCCUAGGUCGGAUUGGCUAGUUGGUGGGGUAAUGGCCCACCAAGGCGACGAUCCGUAACUGGUCUGAGAGGAUGAUCAGUCACACUGGAACUGAGACACGGUCCAGACUCCUACGGGAGGCAGCAGUGGGGAAUAUUGGACAAUGGGCGAAAGCCUGAUCCAGCCAUGCCGCGUGUGUGAAGAAGGUCUUCGGAUUGUAAAGCACUUUAAGUUGGGAGGAAGGGCAGUAAGCUAAUACCUUGCUGUUUUGACGUUACCGACAGAAUAAGCACCAGCUAACUCUGUGCCAGCAGCCGCGGUAAGAC
rnacentral:rRNA from 1 species